rnacentral:rRNA from 1 species
GCCUGGCCCUAAAUCUUGAUGCUCGAUAUUACCUGAGCAUCCGCCCGAGAACUACGAGCACAAACGCUUAAAACUCUAAGGACUUGGCGGUGCUCCAAACCCACCUAGAGGAGCCUGUUCUGUAAUCGAUGAUCCACGCUAUUACCUGACCAUUCCUUGCACGAAACAGCCUAUAUACCGCCGUCGCCAGCCCACCUCCCCUGACAGCCCAACAGUGGACGCCAUAGCCUAACCCGCUAGUAAGACAGGUCAAGGUAUAGCCCACGGAAUGGAAGCAAUGGGCUACAUUUUCUAGACUAGAACAUACGGAUAAGGGUAUGAAACUGCCCUUGGAAGGCGGAUUUAGCAGUAAAGAGAGACAAUCGAGCCCUCUUUAAGCCGGCUCUGGAGCACGU